AUCUCUGGCACCCGCUUUUUUUGCUGCUAUCUUGUUCAUUUUUUCUCUUGAAGGGGAGAUCACGUGAGAUCAAUGGAGGGAAGUGCAAAAAAACGACGCAUCUGUGAAUACGAUGGAACAACGACAAGCCCUUCUUGUAGUCACGGAAUGGCUACUUCAUCCGGAUAUGACUAUGAAGUAUUCUUGAGUUUUAAAGGAGCAGACACUCGAUCAGGUUUUACCGACUUCCUUUACACUAGUCUUGAUAAUGCAGGAAUCCGCACAUUCAAGGACGACGAAGAGCUCCGCGUUGGGGAAGAGUUUGCCCCAAAACUUCUCCAAGCAAUUAAUCAGUCAAAGAUCUCAAUACCUAUCUUUUCAAAGGGUUAUGCAUCUAGCGUAUGGUGUCUGAAGGAGGUAGCCCAAAUGGUCGAGCGCCAAAAAACUGGAAAACAAAAGAUCUUGCCCAUUUUUUAUGAUGUGGCACCUUCAGAGGUUCGACACCAAACUGGAGGCUAUGGAGAGGCAUUUCGUUCACAUAAAAACAAGAAGCGGCAUGACGAAGAAACUAUGCAAGAGUGGAAGAAUGCUCUCAAUGUAGUUGGGGCAAUAAACGGUUGGAACCUGCACAGCAUGUCCAACAGGCGAGAAGGAGAGUUUGCAAAAGAACUCACCGAGGAGGUUUACAAAGAAUUGAAAAAGGCCUAUUUGGUCAUAUCAGAUUACUUGGUCGGUGUCGACAAUCAUGUGGAUGCUAUCAUGGAAAUGAUAGGUGCUCGGACUAGUGAAACACGGAUUAUAGGAAUUCACGGGAUGGGUGGCAUCGGAAAAACGACUAUUGCCAAAAUGAUCUACAAUAGGCUUUCACACAACAUUGAGAAUUGUUGUUUUCUUCACGAUAUUCGAGAAACGUCAAAAGGUAAAGGCAUUCAAUUCUUACAGAAUCAACUCAUCUUUGACAUCCUCAAAAUAAAAUGCAUGGAUAUAAAAGACACUAAUGAAGGAACUCAGACAAUUAAAGACAUGUUGUCUAAUAAAAGAGUCCUCCUCCUUCUCGAUGAUGUGGAAGAAGAGAAUCAUACUAAUGCGCUUGUAGGUAAGCGUGAUUGGUUAGGCAAAGGGAGCAAAAUUAUUAUUACUACAAGGAACAAAGGCAUUCUUGAUAUUCCCGAAGUGGACCACAGUUAUGAGCUUAGCAUUAUGGAUCCCGUUCGAUCUCUUCAACUUUUUAGCAAAUAUGCCUUCGGAAGAGAUUCUCCGUUAGAAGAUUAUAUCGAGCAAUCCAACAGGGCGAUAUGCAUUGCUGGAGGUCUUCCGCUUGCUCUUGAGGUCAUCGGUUCACUUUUAUGUCGCACUAAAAAGGAAAUGUGGGAUGCCACAUUGAAGAUGCUUGAAAGAGUUCCUCAUGAUAAAGUUCAGAGUAAACUGAAAAUAAGUUAUGAUGCAUUAGAUUUUCGGCAAAAGCUUAUAUUCCUCGAUAUAGCUUGUCUUUUUAUUGGAUAUGACAAAGACAUUCUGGUUCAUUUCUGGGAUGAAUCUUAUUUUUUCCCAAAAGUAACCAUGAAAGUUUUGCAGAACAUGUCUUUGAUAAAGAUUAAUGAGGAUAAUAAAGUGUUGAUGCACGAUCAACUCAGAGACCUUGGACGAGAAAUAGUCCGUCAAAAAAGUGACAUGCGGAUGGAGAAGCAAAGUAGAGUGUGGGAUCUCAAGGAAGGAUUAGAUUUGCUCAUGAGAUAUAAGGGAAAUAAAAAAGUGGAAGCUCUUCGUCUCAAGCUUGACCAUGAGUGGCAGCACUGUAUUACCUACGACAACUUUAAGACAUUAUCAAAUCUAAGGUUCCUUGAAGUUGGCGGUUCGAAGGAACAUUUUCGUGUAGAAGAGAGGCUUCUCUGGGGCGAAUUGCCAUCAAAUGUUCUUCCAACCAAUGAUUUCCUGCAGAAUUCAGACCUCCUUCCACAGUUACGAUGGCUUUCUUGGCAUGAUAUUCUCCCAACAUUUAAGAUAACAGCUUUCUCCAUGAAGGAUGUAGUCAUUCUUGACCUAUCUGAGAGUACAAUUACACAUAAUUGGAAAGGAUGGAGCCACAUAAAGGUUAUGAGGAAUUUGAAAGUUUUGAAUUUGGCCCGUUGCCUACACUUGGAGAGAACCCCCGUCUUCUCUCCUUGUUCGAAUUUAGAGCGUUUGAUCUUAGAGAGCUGUAUAUUAUUAAGAGAAAUUGAUACGUCGAUUUGUCAUUUGAAAAGCUUAGUUUUCUUAGAUGUAAGCUAUUGUGAGAAUCUUCAGAGUUUGCCAGACGAGCUGGGUAGAGAUCUUGCAAGACUUGAGUACCUAUCUCUAAAUUACUGCAAAUUGUUAGUGAGGCUUCCGGAUUCCAUUGGAAAUUUGGAAUCACUGAUUGAGUUGGAUAUGUCCUACACGUCGAUCAAAGAACUGCCUCAGUCCAUCGGAAAUCUGAAGAAUUUGAAAGUAGUGAAGAUGUGGGACAGCGAAAUAAGCGAAAUACCAGAGGCCCUUUGGACGAUUGGGAAGCUCGAAGAAAUAGAAGGCUUAAAUAGUUUUGGAAUCCAUGUGAGAAUUGGCAAUUGCAUCUACGAGAAUCAAUCCCUGAGGAUCUUGAGAUUGGUUGGUGCGCGUAUACACGCGCUUCCCAGGCUUCCUGAAAGCCUUGUCACUCUAGAUUUGCAUUCGCUGUACAUGGACAGGUUACCGGAUCUCUCAAACCUCGCUAAUUUGAAGGAACUGCAUCUGAGCUUUGGCCCACCACCUGAUUAUGGUUGGAAAUCUGAUGGGCUUGUGGAAUAUCCGAUACUGGACUCUGAGCAUGUGACUACCUCGCCAACAGACCUUACCCUCCCUCCUCAACUCAAGAAGCUUGACCUCAAGUGCCCUAAUCUGCGUCGCCUCCCGAGGCUUCCCUCAAGAUUAUCCUUCUUGAAUUUGCACGAGUGCUACUCACUUUGCUGGAUGGAGGAUCUUUCGAAUUUGAAGAAUCUAUCUUCUCUAAGGAUUUCGCACGCUGCAAUCGCAGAGGUUCGAGGCCUUGAUUGUUUGGAGAACCUACGACAUGUGGAGCUUUGGUACCUUGGACAGUUGGAGAUACUACCUGAUCUAAGCAAUUUAAACAAGCUAAGCCGUCUUCGAGUAGCAGCUUGUCAUGAGCUGGUCGAGAUUCAAGGCGAACUGCCACAAUCUUUGGAAGAACUAGAGAUUAUUUACUGUGGAUCUUUACAGAAGGUGCCUAAUAUGUCAAGCUCGAUGAGACUGCGAAAGGUUGAAGUAAAUCACUGCAGGGAAUUAAAUGUGGAGGAAAUUUCUUCGCUUUGCUCGGAGAAGUCAAUUGAAUUUGUGGGAGAAGUCUGACCAACCUGAAUAUGAAUCUGAGGGAGAAGAGAGAGGAAUUUGAAUCUGAACUGAACACAGAAGCGGACGAACCUGAACAUGAAUCUGAAUAUGAGGGAGAAGAUAAGGAAUAAGUGCACAUUGCUCUUGAAAGCUUCUUGAUCCACGACCACAAAUUGUUCUCUUG